rnacentral:rRNA from 1 species
CGUCCGGCGACCGGCGCACGGGUGAGUAACACGUAUGCAACCUGCCCUCUUCAGGGGGACAACCUUCCGAAAGGGAGGCUAAUCCCGCGUAUAUCGGUUUCGGGCAUCCGAGAUCGAGGAAAGAUUCAUCGGAAGAGGAUGGGCAUGCGGCGCAUUAGCUAGACGGCGGGGUAACGGCCCACCGUGGCGACGAUGCGUAGGGGUUCUGAGAGGAAGGUCCCCCACACUGGUACUGAGACACGGACCAGACUCCUACGGGAGGCAGCAG